rnacentral:tRNA from 1 species
GGAUUUUUAGCUCAAAGGUAGAGCGCUUGCCUAGCAAGCGCAAGGCCCUGGGUUCGGUCCCCAGAUCCG